rnacentral:rRNA from 1 species
UACGGAGGGUGCAAGCAUUAAUCGGAAUUAUUGGGCGUAAAGGGCGCGUAGGCGGAACGAUAAGUCAGAUGUGAAAUUCCGAGGCUCAACUUCGGAGCUGCAUUUGAAACUAUAGAUCUUGAGGAUUGGCGGAGAGAACGGAAUUCCACGUGUAGCGGUGAAAUGCGUAGAUAUGUGGAAGAACACCUGUGGCGAAAGCGGUUCUCUAGCUAAUAGCUGACGCUGAGGCGCGAGAGCAAGGGGAGCAAACAGG